CCGGCGGUGAUGUAACAGGAGCAUGGCUGGCCUACACCCAGCUCGCGGGGGUGCAAAUCCCUCCCGCCGGACCA
rnacentral:tRNA from 1 species